AUUGAACGCUGGCGGCAGGCCUAACACAUGAAAGUCGAACGAGUGGCGGACGGGUGAGUAAUUUCUGGGAAACUACCUGAUGGCGGGGAAUAAAUACUGGCAACGGUAGCUAAUACCGCAUACCAUCAGAUGUGCCCAUAUGGGAUUAGCUAGUUGGUGGGGUAACGGCUCACCAAGGCGACGGUCCCUAGCUGGUCUGAGAGGAUGACCAGUCACAGUGGAACUGAUACACGGUCCAGACUCCUACGUGAGGCAGCAGUGGGGAAUAUUGCACAAUGGGCGCAAGCCUGAUGCAGCCAUGCCGCGUGUAUGAAGAAGGCCGUCGGGGUGUAAAGUACUUUCAGCGGGGAGGCGUUACCCGCAGAAGAAGCACCGGCUAACUCCGUGCCAGCCGCCGCGGUAAUAC
rnacentral:rRNA from 1 species